rnacentral:lncRNA from 10 species
UCCCCUUCCACACAGUGGAAGCUUUGUUCUUUUGCUCUUUGCAAUGAAUCUUACUGCUGCUCACUCUUUGGGUUCCCACUGCCUUUAUGAGCUGUAAGACUCACUGCAAAGGUCUGCAGCUUCACUCCUGAAACCAGUGAGACCACGAACCCACUGGGAGAAACGAACAACUCCAGACGCGCUGCCUUAAGAGCUGUUAACACUCACUGCGAAGGUCUGCAGCUUCACUUCUGAGCCACCAAGACCACGAACCCCCCAGAAGGAAGAAAUGCUGAACACAUCCGAACAUCAGAAGGAACGAACUCCAGACACGCUGCUUCCAAGAACUGUAACACUCACCGCGAGGGUCCGUGGCUUCAUUCUUGAAGUCAGUGAGACCAAGAACGCACCAAUUCCGGACACACUAUUGCAGUACUCCACGUAGGAGAUGAUAAUGGCUUAGUAUUGAUAAUGACAGGAUGAAGUAUUUGUACUCGGAAAUAUUUUGAAGGUCAGGCUGAUAGGAUUCGCAGACUGAUUGAUGAGGAGUGUGAGAAAAAGAGAAGAAUCAAGAAUGAUGCCAAGAUUUUUAUCCUGAGCUGCAGAAGAAAGGCUUUGGAAAAAACACUGAGAAAGCAUUUCAGGUAUCUGCCAUGGAAAAUACCAUCAAGUGGGACACCCGCAGCGAUCUCUGUACCCACAAAAGUCACACUUGCUAUCCUUGGUGAAUUUUCCUUAAAAACUGUGGAUGAACUUCCAGUGACUGCGUAAAUAAGGCCCCCAGGAUGAAGGUCAUGUAACCUGAGCAUGCCCAGAUGAACCAAGUGUGCAAUCACAGGG